rnacentral:rRNA from 1 species
CAGUUCGGAUUGUAGUCUGCAACCCGACUACAUGAAGCUGGAAUCGCUAGUAAUCGCGGAUCAGCACGCCGCGGUGAAUACGUUCCCGGGUCUUGUACACACCGCCCGUCACACCAUGGGAGUCGGAAAUGCCCGAAGUCAGUGACCCAACCGUAAGGAGGGAGCUGCCGAAGGUGGAGCCGGUAACUGGGGUGAAGUCGUAACAAGGUAAC